rnacentral:tRNA from 1 species
AGAUAUGAAACGAUUUAUUGUAUUCAGUUUCGACCUGAACUUAGGUUAACCAACCCUUAUCUU